rnacentral:rRNA from 1 species
UACGGAGGGUGCAAGCGUUAAUCGGAAUUACUGGGCGUAAAGCGCACGCAGGCGGCUUUUUAAGUCGGAUGUGAAAGCCCCGGGCUCAACCUGGGAAUUGCAUCUGAUACUGGGAAGCUAGAGUAUGUGAGAGGGGGGUAGAAUUCCAAGUGUAGCGGUGAAAUGCGUAGAGAUUUGGAGGAAUACCAGUGGCGAAGGCGGCCCCCUGGCACAAUACUGACGCUCAGGUG